AAGGAAAGAGAUAUUUAAUCAGUGUGUAUCGCUUUGUUUAUCUGUGGGAAGGAAAGACGAUUGCGCUAAUGAUGUGGAAUGUCUUUGGAGUAACUCACUGCACUGUGGAACUUUUUGGGAACUUGAUGAGUUUGAGCUGGCUACCUAAGAGGAAUCACAAGGAGAGACGGAAAUGAAUCAUUGUGAAAAUUCCUCUUGAACCAAAUCUCUCCCAGCAAAUUACAUGAAAUCUUCAAGAUUAAAACAGAAUAUGAGGCAGGGUUUGAAACACGACGAUAUCAGCACAGUUGAGCUUCUUGCAGGAAAAUACACGCUCCAGAAAAAAAAAAUCAUCUCGGUCAAUUUAUAAGAAACAAUUGUUGCAUUGUGAUCUCAGGAGCCGUUCUGGAAUAUCCUUUGUUUGACCCCUAAGGAAGGCCAAUGGGCUGAAAUGUGUACAGUCGGGGUCAAUAAUGGUCAUUUUUGGAUAUCACUGUACAAUUUGAUUCUUAACUGAGGCAUCUUAUCUGGGCCAAUAGCUGUUUUUUUAAAAAAAUUUACUUCAUAAUAAAUUUAUGAAUAUUUUUGUA